rnacentral:rRNA from 1 species
GAGUUUGAUCGUGGCUCAGGGUGGUAGGAACAUUGAGGCUGGGGCCGCCUGAGGCUUUGGCAUGAGGCUGGGGGGCUGAGGAGAGAUGUGAAACAGUUACACCGGGGGUGAAGGUGUCAGAGAGGCCUCUCAGUUUCAGCUUGAGUCGGCAGGCAGGCCAUGGUGGUGGCUGGUGGGGAAGUCACCACUGCCCCAGGCCAGAGAGGAUUGCCUCUGAGCCAGGGAUGUCCAGGGCUGCCUCUGAGAGAGGUACAGGUGGGAGUGGACACGGGCAGGUCAACCACUGUCCCUGCCCCAUGACCCCGACACAGGUCAGAUGACCCAGAUGUGGGGGGCCAGGGCAGGAGCAGUUGAGGGGCCAGGCUAUCAGCUGAGUCGAAAGUU